UACGGGGGGGGCAAGCGUUGUUCGGAAUUACUGGGCGUAAAGGGUUCGUAGGUGGCUUGCUAAGUCAGACGUGAAAUCCCUCAGCUUAACUGGGGAACUGCGUCUGAUACUGGAUGGCUUGAAUUCGGGAGAGGGAUGCAGAAUUCCAGGUGUAGCGGUGAAAUGCGCAGAUAUCGGGAGGAACACCGGUGGCGAAGGCGGUUCUCUGGGCCUUACCUGACGCUGAGGAGCGAAAGCGUGGGGAGCGAACAGG
rnacentral:rRNA from 1 species